rnacentral:lncRNA from 1 species
GUUUAGGAUUUAUUUAGAAUUUAAGAUUUGAUUAGGGUUUGGUUUAGGGUUUAAAGUUUGUAUUAGGAUUUGGUUAGGAUUUUAUUUAGGAUUUGGAUUAGGGUUUGGUUUAGGGUUUGGUUAGGAUUUGGUUUAGGAUUUGGUUGGGAUUUGUUUUAAGAUUUUUUUAGGAUUUAAUUUAGGAUUUAGGAUUUGAUUAGGAUUUGAUUUAGGAUUUAGGAUUUGUAUUAGAAUUUGGUUAGGGUUUUAUUUAGGGUUUGGAUUAGGAUUUGGUUAGGGUUUGAUUUAUGGUUUAGAAUUUGGUUAGGAUUUGGUUAGGGUUUGGUUUAGGAUUUGGUUGGGAUUUGGUUUAAGGUUUGUUUAGGAUUUGAUUUAGGAUUUAGGAUUUUAUUAGGAUUUAAGAUUUAAUUAGGUUUGGCCUAAAGUUUCAAUGAAGUUCAAUAGGAUUUUAACUAGAAUUAAAUUAAGAUUGAAUUGAAAUGUAUUUGAGUGAUAUUUGUGAUCAUUCUAAUAUUUCAUUAAGAAUUCUUAUUGUUUGUUUGAAAUUUUUUUGAGGUUUUUUUGAAUUUGAUUAAGCUUACUUAGUAUUAUUAUGGUCUAAUUAGAGCAUUGUUAGUAUUCUAUUAGAAUUAGGAUUUUGUUAUUGUAAAUUACAUUCUUCCUUCCAUAGCUAGGUACCUAGAGCAUUCUCAAGCAAGACUUCACAUAUUACGACAAUGUUCCAUUAUAAGAGAAGGGACAUGAUUUGAUGCAGAUGUUGAAGCAGCUCCAAUCAUUUCUAUAUCUUCACUUCUUACCAAUUUUGUUGCUCCUUGUGGUGGUAAAUUGAGUUGAUGCAUCGUAAGUAUUAACUCCCUCAAUUGCUCUUGCAUUUGUGCCAUUGCAUUCUUCAUUUCAACAAGUUCUAUCAUGAUAACAAUUAGAAAAAAAAAUGUCUAAUAUUGCUCAAAACAAGUAGAAGAGAGGACUUGAGAAUAAAGAAAAUACUAAUGACAAUAUCAAUUUAGAAGAAGGUAAUCCGUAACUUCUAAUAUGCUUAUGUCUUAUCAAGAGAAAGGGGUAGUCGACUCUUAAUCAAGAUUAGACAAAUCUCUAAUAUUGUAAGUUCACUCUUGUCAAUUUGUCAAGGAUAAGAGCUUGAUAAAAAUAAAUAAAUAAAUAAGACUUUUCUCAAAGUAAGAUGAUAAAAUAGAAAUAACUUAAUAUGUAUAUUAAGAAAGAAACUAGAAUGGCAACUGCCAAAAGACAAGAAAACUAGAAACCCUUGAAACUAGACUAGAAGUAAGAAAGGAGUUGACAAGAGUGGAGAAGGCUUCACUCUUGCCUCUAUAUAUAUUAUCUACCUAAGAGCUAUUUGGCAACAUUCUAUAGGACUUCCAAAAAUGUGUUGACUUUACACAAUAUGUAUCUUAACUUGUAAGGCAAGUUUUCUAUGUGGGCGCCACAUAAUUAGCUUGUUCCACAAGCUACUAACAUGUGUGGCACAUGGUUAACUUGUUGAUUAAGUUUCUAACCUAUCAAUCAAGUAUAAACACAUGUAAAAUCAAAGCAGUGUCUAUGAAGCUUCUAGGAAGCUUUUCUAGAAGAUAUUAUGAAAUUAAUCUACUUUUACCUACUUCUAUUUAUUCUUAUCACCUAAGUAACAAUUACAAUAAAUAUAUGUCCAUGAUUGUAGAAUCCAGGAAGAAGAUGCAAAAGAGAUAAGCUUUUAAGCUAUUUGAUAGAUGUUCAUAUAUGUAGAUAGAUAGAACUUGUAAAAUCUUCUAUCUUCAACCUUUAAAACUUCACUUGGAUGUUUAGCUUGGGAUUGGUUGGAGAGAAGUUAUUUAUUUUGAAAAUUUAUUAAUAAAUAUGAGAUUGAUUAGAAAUGCAAUAACAUGAGUUUAUCUUUAAUGUGGCAUGAAUAUUUGUAAAAAAAAAUAUUUUUUAUUAUAAAAUUGUACUGUCAACUAUUAUAGUAGAUAAUUUCCUAACAAUACUAUUGUGAAAAGACGACAAGAAAAGAAAGCUUGGACUCCUUGCUAUCUUGAUAUGAAAUUCUUUUUUACAACUAAGAUUAUUUAGAGCCACUCUUAUAUAAUAGUAGUUUUGUAUAUCAAUUAAAAUUAGGAACAACCUUGCUUGAAGUGAUAUUCAAGUAAAUAUUUUUUUUUAGUUAUUUUUAUUUUAUUUUCUUUCUUUGUCAGAAGGUAUUUUAAAUGGAUUAUAAGUUGAGGAGCCAAAGUAUUUUAAUUUGAUUUUUUAAAAAAUAAUAUGUUAAAAUUAUGAAUCGAAGUGAAUAUUAUAUCUAUAAUCAUGCUGAAUGCAUUGUUUUACUAGAUCUAGAUAAAUUAAAUUAGCUGCAUCUAUAGAAAAUCUGAAGAAAGCCAUUAAAAAAUCUACUCCAAAAUUUAGAAGAAUUGAGGUUCAACAAUUGGACAAAUAAGACCUACCUAUAAUAUCAUAAGAUAUAGUUGUAAUCAAUCCAUUGGAAUUAAAUCCUAAUUAAGUGGUAGAAGAAGAAGUAUUAUACUUAAAAUCUUUUUAAUUCUUUUAUAGAAAUAAAUCAAAAAGAAAAAGAAUUAAGACUUAAUUUUUCUUCAAUGGAUUGUGAAAAGAAAGCCUCUCCAAAUUAUGUACUCAUAAAUUCCAUGGUUUAAUUAAGAAAUUUAUCUAUUUUAAUUCUAUAGGCAUUGCAAGCAGUUGCUAUGCCUCACAAUCUUUCAAUUUGUAAAAGAACUAGAGACAAUGAUCUAUUUGCAUGUAUAAAGAGAUUCAUGGAGCUUCUCUUGACGUACUUAAUUACUAACCAAGGAUAUUAUCUAAUAUGAUUUUUGAGUAAAUUAAAGGAUGGAGCCUAUGAGUGAUAUAAAAACCAUCUCCUUUAAAUCUUCAAAAAUUGGAACAUGCUCAUGGGAGUAUUCUUAGAAUAAUUUAGACUAGAAGUGAAUCAAAGUAAUGUCCUUAUAAUCCUUUCUUCUUUGAAACAAGAAAAAGGAGAAGAAAUCAUUGCAUAUAUUAAGCACUUUCAAUUGAUAGUUAGUAGAUUUGUAGGAAUCCUUCUCAUAGAUGAUACUUUUAUUCAUUUUUUUAUUUAAGGAUUUAAUAGUAAAAUCUCAAUUAGAAAAAUAUUAAAAAGUCAACCAAAAUAUCUACAUAAUGAUAAAGAAAUUAUAAAGUUUAUUGAAGAUAUUGAUAAGCAACAAAAAUAUAAGUAAAGGAAAGAAAACCAUAAAAUUUCUAAUUUUAUCUCCAUCUAUGCUUAAAAUAUUUGAAGCAUCCAAAAAAACCUUCAUAGAUUGAUUAAAAAUUAUUUUUAAUCAAUGAAUUAUUAUCCCUCAUCUUUAAAGAUUAGCCACCAUCUAGCCUUCAAGAACUUACAUAUCCAAAGGAUUGAAAUAGGUGGAAAGAGUAACUCAAAAAUAAAGUCUUUUAAAGCCAAAGGAGAUUUCAAAAUGAACUUGCAUAACAUAUGUAAGCAAUGCAAGAAUAAAUGAUUUUAUUAAUUAAAAGUCAAAGUUUCAAAAAAGUUCUACCAUCCAUAGAAUCAGGUAGGCAUACUUUAAGAUUGUGGUGCACUCAAUGUAGCCAAUUGAGGCACAUUAGUCAAUUUUGUUCUAUUCUACAAUGUUACCUACAAAAUCUCAGAUAGCAAUAAACUUAUGUUACUCUUUAUAGAAGCCAAAUCAAUAUAGGAUCUAAUUCUCAUCCACAAAGCCAUAAAUUUCCUAAUCAAGGUUUUAAAAACCAACCAAGAAAAAGGUAGGAAGUACAUUACAUUUGUAGCAAAAAACAUCCACUUGAUAGUUGAUGGAUAGAAAAUAGAGUUGUUUUUGAAAAUCAAAGAAGUAACCAUUCUAUGGAAGUAUAUAGACAACUUAAUAAGGUAGUUCCAUUGAAUUUUAUAUAAGAAAAUUAUCAACAAUAAGCCAAAGAUAAUCUAAAAGAGGCAAUGGAACCUACUUCAAACAAUAUAUUAAAACCUUCCAACCUUUUCUAUGAUUAUAAUAACAAUCAUCAAAAUCAACAUCUCUCAUUGAGUUUAAAGAGUAAAAGAGAAUAUAUCUCUCUAAAUUUGGAUCAAAUUUAAUAUGGCUACCAAAACAAUGGCCACAGUUUAUAAGAUGUGAGGUAUUUAAAAAUACCAAAUGAAAAAAAAUCCACAAUUUAUGAGAGAUCAGCCUCCUUCUUAAAUUAAUUAUAUCUCUCAUAAAAAAAUUCUCACAAGAAAAAAGAACUUUCUAAUAUGCUAGCCUUAGUAGUUAUGAUAAGGUCUAGAUAUACUAGUCUUCUCCUUUAUACUUUAAUUGAUAGUAAGAAUAGUUUGAAAGACUCUCUCCACUUUUUGGAUUUAAAUGAAGCCAAAAAGAAUACAAUGGCUAAUGAUAGGGCUUGUAAAGAAAUACUUUAUGUUUUAGAAUCCAAGUCAAUUAGGCUAUUAAAAAACUUGAGAGAAAGUAUCCAAAUAAGAGAGUUUUUUUGUAAAAGAGAGUAGAAAGAACCUAGAGUUUUUGACCUUAAAUGUAACAAUUCACUAUGAUUUAAAAGUAAAAACUAAAUUGAACUAUAUGAUUUAUAGGAGGAUUUAAAAAAAUCAAGGCUAAUAUAAUAAUAACUCAAUUAUUAGAGUUUCUUUUUAAUAAUGAGACAUAGCUUUAAAAUGAAAUUUUUUAUUAAGAGAUGCCAAAGGUUUAAAGCAAAAUUCAAGCCAAUGUUAGAAUUAUUCAAGAAAUACAAGAGAUGAAGGCAAUUGAAUUAGAAGUAUCUAUAGUAGAUAAAAUCAUAUCCUAUACUAUUGUGAAUGGAGGUAGUGGAUUAAAUAUUAUACUAAUGAGAAUUUUAAAAAAACUAAGACUUAAUAUCACUUGACCUUCUUUCUAUGUGAUUAACAUAACUAAUCAUAGAUAAGAUAUUCUUUUGGCAUAGAUUAGUGAUUAUAUAAUGAUGAUGGGUGGUGAAAAAUAUUUUCUUAUAUUCCAUGUUAUUCACAUGUAUCGAAGAAAAAAUUCCUAUUCUUUGCUCUUUAAUAGAUCUUGGUUGAGGGCAACUAAUGCAAAAAUUAAUUGAGGCAGUAAUAAGCCUCAUAUUAUUUAUGGUCCAUUGAAAAACCUUAUAAAAAUACUUAUUUAAUUUCAAGGAAUAUUAUUGGAUAAAAUCUUGUCCUACUUUUCAAAAGAUGAGAAUCUAAGUCCAUAACUUAAUAAAGAGUUAAAAAAGAUAGUUAGAUUUGUAGAUUUGAGAACUAAGAUAGUAACUCACUUAAGAAUUAUCCAAAAAAUUUCAUUAGGAUGUAUCCGUCUUAGAUUAUAUGAUUGAAAAGAUGAUGGAAAUUUCAUCAAAUGGUUAAAAAAUCACCCUAAUUCAAAUGCAAAUAAAAUCAUGAAUAUUAAUUUUAUAGAUAAUUUUGCUAUUUAGUAACAAGAUAAAUUGGAAGUAAAUCUACUAACUUUGGUGGACAACAUCAACUAUGAAGAUAUUUAUGAGGUGAAUAUUGAUGGCAUUCAAUUUUACAAUAUAGAAGAUAUAAUAGAUGAGAUUAAUCUUAAUCCAAUCUUACACUUCAAACAAACUUCUAAUGGAUGUAAGAUUAAAAGUGAGGUGGUAAAUUAUCCACAAAUAUCAAAUGAUUGAUAUAAAGGAUCUACAUAACAAUAUCAUGUUCAUAAUAUAGAUUAUAAGUUCAUGGAUGUGUCUCUUGACAAUGAAGAAUCAAAACUAAUCUAGAUAGGAGUUUAAUUAAUGGAAGAUGAAUUAUUGAAGUAAAAAUCUUUGAUAAUAGAAUAUUGGAAUGUGUUUGCUUGAUCUUACAAAGAUCUAAAGGAAUAUCUUUUGAAGUAGCUCAACAUUUUAUAUCACUACUUUCAAAUUCAAUCUCAGUUAGACAAAAAGAGGUGAAGUUUGAAUAGAGUAAAAAAUGCCAAAAAACAUUUGAUAUCCUUAAGGCAAAAUUUAGUUCUAUUUCCAUCUUAAGACCACCUAAUUGGUCAUUGUCCUUCUAUGUACUUUGUGAUGCUUUGUCCAUGGUAGUUGGAAGCACAUUAUAUCAAGUAAGUGAAAAUAUAUAUAUAUAUAUAUAUAUAUAUAUAUAUAUCUUAUAAUAUUUGAUAGUAGAUAACUAAAUUCUAUGGAAAAGAAUUAUAUCACCACAAAAAAGAAGUGACUUGCCAUGGUUUUUUUUGUUAAGAAGUUUAAUACUACCUCCUUUUGAACCUAGUAGUAUUUUUUGUUGACCACAUUAGGCAAUUAAAGAAUUCUAAAGGUGUGAAAGAUAUCUUUCAAAUAGAUUUUUAAAUUUUUUGAAUAUCCAAAAAAAUUAUACCAAAAUCUAUAAAUAUUUAUUUUAGUAAAUAUUCAAAGGGCAUAAAAGUAUUGGUCAUGUAAGAGGUUGUCAAGUGGACCAUCUGAGUUUAAAUUUGAUAAGGACAAUAGGCUAUUCCAAUGAGCUAGUGUUGGUACAAGGAAGACUAAUAUUAUAUACUCAAUGGAUAUGUAGGCCUUAAAGGCUUGAUACUAAAAUCCUCUCAUACUGAGGAAGAGUCUAAGGAUAUCAUAAUUUUAAUUCUUAGACUUAUCUUUAUCUUUCUAAAAACUUUAGUUUUAAAUAUAUAUAUAUAUAUAUAUAUAUAUUCUAUCUUCUUUGUUUAGUUCUAUAGAAUAAAACGUAUUUUAAUUCUUUCAAAUUAGUAAAAAUUCAUUCCUUCUUAAUUUAAAUAAUUAUUAAUAUAUAUAUAUAUAUAUAUAUAUAUAUAUAUAUAUAUAUAUAUUUUAUCCAUAGCAUUUUGAAAGAUCAGUUUUAGGUUCUUCUUUUUUGGAAGUCAUCUCAGAUGGUUACCAUGUGUGAGUCAUCAAAAUAACUUACUUGGAUAUUUAAUACAAAAAAUAUAAUUAUUAUGCUUAAAAUUACAAAAUAUAGUGAGUAGUGUAAAAAACUAUAAUAAUUUCUUAUAAAUAGAAAAUUAGAAUUUUUGUUAUAAAAAUGGAAUCUUAAUAAGUCUUGGAGGCAAUUAUUUGAGUUGAUUUAAAAUUUUUACUCAUUAUUGAGUAUUAAAGGCUAGUUAUUAAGAUUAAUAUCUAUAUUGGCUUUCUAUCUAUAUAUAUUAUUUAUAAAAAAUUAUAAAUGUUAAUUAGUAGUUAGAAGAAGCAUGAAAAAGAACCUCAUAUCUUUUUAAUCAUUAAUAUAAAAAAUAAGAUUUAUAUUUGAUUUAAAUUGAUUUUAUUAUUAUAAAAAAUCAAAACGAUAAAAAAUAUAUUAUUUAAUUAAUAAUAGUAUUAUAAAAAUAUUUUAAAUUUUAAUUUUUUUUUUUAUGAUUUUUAGAAAUUUUUAGAGCAAUUUUCAAGACUUUGGUAAAAAUAGGUUUUUCUACUUUAGGAGCCAUUAUGAAGAAAUAGAAUUUGAUCUUUUUUGUUCUUACUAUUUGCUUCUUUCACUUCACACCACCAAUUACAAGAAACUUUGAAUUAAUGCCAUCUUAUAAUUUGAAUUGAGGAUGUGAAAUUUAUCCUCAUAAUCCACUUAACUAUAUUUUCUUGCAUGCAUGGCAUAGGAAUUGAAAAGUUUUGAUAUAGAAGUUCAAAGCCUAGAGUGCAAGGCCAGCUUGUUUAUUUGAAUGAAUUUCUCAAGAAUCUUUCUGUUUUUGUAGGUAAUCGUGGCAAUUGAGAGGAUCAUCAAUUAUAUCUCAAAUUCCUUUUCCACUUGCAUAAUUUUUCUUAGGAAUGUCAAACAUUAAUCUUUGUUAACUCUUAAUUUUUGAAAUGAUCAUUGAAUGCUCCGUAAUGCUAUUUUUUUUAAUUUGUGUGUAAAUCAAGGAGAAUUAUCUAUGUAGCCCUAGGUAGUAACAGAGUUCUCAGAGAACAGGGACCUUUUGACGUCAUUCUCCAUAAAGUAUAUCUUGUAUACUAAUCCCAUUCUUGCAUACCACUCCAGCUCGGUUAUUCUAUUUUGUUUCUUUGUUUUGGACAUCAUUUAAAAAAAAAUUAUAUGCAUAUAUAUAAAUGUCCUAUGUUGGUGAAGGUUCUUGGCAUGAUUCAUGUAUCGCCGCAUCUGGUUAUACUCUGCUUCUUAGUUGCAAGUCUAUCACUUUGGUAGUGUAAUGUUCAUUGUGCGUUGGUUUGGUGUGCGAGUACAGUUGGCCGAAAGAGAGUGGCGGGAAGAGCUGGAGGUGAGGCAAACGUAGGAACAGAUAGGCAAAAAUGAGCCCCUUCUGUUUCAUGCCUUGUAUUAUAAGAAUUUUAUGUCAUUUCAAAGUCUUGUCUCUUAGGGAAAUGAUUUAUUAAGUGGGGGUGCCUAUCUCACCCAGUAUAUGUCAUAAUUCUUGUACCGAACACCAGCCCUAGUCCCUUCGUUCUUUUUCCAAUAUCAGGAGGUUUAUUGUCUAUCUUUCUGGAUGACCGAGUUUGUGAGACUGUUGGUAUUGCAGGACUAUGUGCAAAAAUUCCCAAAUGUCACUGUUUAGAUCCACCAGCUGCAAUUCAGAAACUCAGAAAUCGACAUUCUAUGUUGCAAGAUGUAGCAGACUUGAAGCUCACUGAUUCUGAUGGUACCAUAUUUUUAUUUAUUUGUAGAAUACACCCCGUGCCUAGGUUUUGACAUGUAGGAGUGAUUGCAUUUCUUAUAAAUUUGUAUUACUUGAGUAGACUUCACAAUUCCUUUCAGGUUCAGUUGCUUUACGACCUUCCGUGUCUGAAAACCCCUCACAUUACCUUAACAUUCAUGAAUUUCAUGUCAUAUUCCAGUGCUAGAACUUUUUCAUUGAGGGAUAUGGUUAGGAGUAGAAUCGUGAAGAGAGUUUUGUUAUUUGGUGAAAUCAUGAAUAUUUAGAAUGAUCCAUGAUCGCUCAUUCUUCUAACUAGGGUGAUGUUUAUUGAGGGUGUAAAGUUCUUAUGAGUCAAAUUCUGAGUUCUUUUUGUUUGAAUUUUAACAGGAUUUGUCACUGUUCAAUUUUGGAAUGAUCCGAGAAGUGGGUGCUGGAAAUUGUUAUUACAUUAUCGACAUAAAUUACUUUCCCGGCAUGUAUUAUUGAAUUUCUUUUCAAAGUAUUCAGCCUCACUACUUUCUUGAGCACCUAUACAUUUAUCUAAUGCGAUAAAAGAUAAAAUCCUGUUCUGAAGUUUCCUCAUUGAGACUUUUGUGGUGUCUGAAUCUUAUUUGUUUUAUUUCUGUAAUCUAUGUCUAGCAAACUUUGCUUUUCUUCAGGCUAUGGUAAAUUGCCAGAAUAUGAGUUGCUGAUCACCGAUUAUCUAGUAGACUUGGCAAGAAGGAAAGGCAAGACGCUUGAAUCAGCAGGACCUGUCCUUGAUUUUUGAGGAUUAUGCUAGUGCAUGCUGAAAGUCUUUUACUCUUUUCUUAUUUAUUUAUUUUUCAUCUUAAUUUUUUAAAAAUCAUUUCGGUCCAUAUAUAUAAUUGCAAGGUCUGUUAAUAACCAUUAGGGGAUUUGAGCACGUUUUGGAUGCUCUCAGUGUUGAAAGCCGCAGAUAACUGUCAAUGGUUGCACACUCUGAUAUUUUCUAGUCUUUUCUUGAUCAAACAAAUUUGAGGGCUGGAAGGGUUCUAAGUGCCAUCGGAAGAUGUGAAUGAAAAAUAGGCCUAAAAGCCUCUAGACAUAUUGAGGAUGCAUCUGAUGACCAGUGAAUCUGAUAGCAUACUUCGAGUCAAGGCAUUUCUUGAUGCACUCGUAGCAAGCAGAGUCUGUUUUUGCUACUCCACGAUACAUUCAUAGAACCCACCACCAGAAGGCUAGGCAUUGCUAAGAUGAUUUUUCAAACUCAAUGCCUUGAAAUUUUAGACUUGCUUAGUUGUGCAUUAUUGAAGACUUCAAUUUGUUUAGUUGUCUGUUAUUGAAGAGUAGUCCAUGGAUCUAAGGAUGGAAGUUUAGUCCAAGAAGGGGGGAGGAACAUGUACAAAAACAGUGUUGAGAAAAGGAUAUUUCUUUCUUUCUUUCUUUCUUUCUUUCUAUGUUUUUGCCACCAAUUUCAAACUAGUAACAUUGGAGUAGUAGAGGGUAUGUAUCUACUUUACAAAGAAUUCGUGUUUGAUGCCAUUUGUUUAAGAAAAAAUGGUUUGGUUUAGAAUCUUAACUAAUAAAUCAAAUUUUAUUGGAUGGUAUUCAUAUAUGGGUUGAAUUAGGAGGUUUAUUUGUAAAAAACAAACUACUUAGUAGUCACCAUUCUAAAUUCUUUAGAAGUGGAUUACAAUUUUUAUUAGAGGUUGAAGCACUUUUAAUAUGUUGUGUUGAUUUUAAUGAAUUGUAAUCUACUUGAUUCAAUUUAUAUAAUCCAUUGUCCCUCACAUACUACACACUUAUUACUUUAGGACAGCAAAAAUUUACAUAAAUAAUAAAAUAGUGAUGGCUUUAGUUGGAAAAUUUAUUGGAAGCUUAGUGAAUUAAUUAAAUCCAUCUCUUCAAUUUUUAUAGUCCUAGAUUUAAAUCUUAAUAGUACUUGGACACCACACUUAUGUAAAUUUUGUAACUUUUUUUUUUUUUUUUUUUUCGAAAAAUCUAAUUUAACUUUAUUUCUUCCAUUCUUACGAGGACUAAACUUAAUGUCCUUUUGUUAUAAAAGUAAAAAAUUAAAAAUAUUUUGGUCUAUUCAAAGUGUUGAAUUAAUAGAAAUUCUAUGCUGAAAAUUCAUCUUCAUUGGCUUUUUUGUUUGAAUUUUUUUUAAUGGCCAGAAAAACAAUUGUAGGAUUGAUAUUUAUUUUAUUGCUAAAUCUUUUAUAUUUAAUAAUAUUUUUUAAUAAAUUUUUUGUAAAUAUUCAUGGUUAAUUUAUAUAAGUAUCAUAUGUAGUAAAUAAUAAUAUUAUUUUUUAAUCAGUUUUUAUAUUAAAAUAAAAAUUUAAUAAUUAAAUUAAUAAAAAAAGUAUCUGAAAUCUAUACAUGAUUAUUUAAUCAUAGUAGUUUUAUCAUAUAAUUUUUUUUCUAGUAAAUAACAUUAUCAUCUGUAAGUAUAUAUAUAUAUAUAUAUAUAUAUAUAUAUAUUAUGAAUGUUUUUAUAUAUUACAUAUAAAAAAUAAAACUUAAAUUAUCAUUUAGCAAUCAAUAUAUAUAUAUAUAUAUAUAUAUAAAACUUUAGAUUUUAAGUUAUAAUUUCUAUUCUAGGUUAAUAAAUAAUAAUUUAUUUAAUAUAAGUUUAAAAUUUUAGAAUAUGAAUUUAAAAUUUUAGUUAAAUACUCAAUAUGAUAAAUUAAUAAUUAUGAUAAAUUUUAUUACAAAAUGCUUUGUGUAAGUUAUAUAUAUAUAUAUAUAUAUAUAUAUAUAUAUAUAUAUGAUUUAGAUAGUAAAAUAAAUAUUUACUCUAAAAUAAAAUAUUAUAGAUUUGUUAAAUUAUUUUGUUAAAUAAUAUAAUUUAAAUGUGUAGAUAGACAAGUAUCAUUUAAUAAAUUUACAAAUAUUUUAAGUUCAUAUUAUAAUUAAAUACAAAGUAAUUUUGAAAUUGAUUUUUUUCAUAUAAUAUAAUGAAUAUUUUUAUAACCUAUAGUUUUUAAAAAACACAACAUUACAAAUAAAAUAUGAGUAAUUUUUAUUGCACAAAGUUUACGAAAUUGUAUUUAUUUAAUCUAUUCUAUCAUGUGUAAUAUUUAGAACUUAGUAUCGAACAAGAGGAUUUAGUGUAAAAUAAAUUAUGUGAAAAAAUACAAAAAAUCAAAUAAAAUAAACUUUUUUCAUCAUUGCAUUGUUUAAAUGAAUCUAACACAUGUUUUGAUAUAUAUUCUAUUAAAAAUAAAUAAGCAGUUCCCAUUGAUAUUUUAGUCCUUUAAAAAUAUUUGAAUAGAAAUUAUUUUUAGUGCUAAAUCCAUAUUCAAAUAAAUAUAUAAUUUUUUUGCUAUAAAAUUGUUGACAAAACAUACAUUUUUGAAUUUUAAUUUGUGUUCUUAAUAGAAGGUAAAAUUCUACAGUUUAUUUAAAUAUAAAUCUGAUCACGAUUAAAAACAUUAAUACCAACUAAGGAGGAAAAUGUAGUACUAAAACCAUUCAAAAGCAUUUACGUGUUAAUCAAUUUUACCUUAAACAAUUAUUAAAUUUAAAACUGCAAGAAGGUAUCCAAAUUUGACAACAUUGCACCACAAUAAAUUUAUGUGAACAAUUAAAAUUUCAAAACUCAAAUAAAAUAAUAGGUUACUCAUCCAUCUAUCUAAUCAUUUAUUUCUGUGUUGGAUGCAUUAAACUAAUGCACAAACAAACAUAGCUAUUCUGUACAGUGGAAAAUACUGAUGUCCAAUUGUUAUUAACAUAGUGCUUUGAGGAAUAUACAUUGUUGAAGUAGGAUAGGCUACGUGUUGUGAUUCAUUCUCCGAACGCAUCUAACCACCCAAAUCCUUCAGCAUACACAUGAAUGUCUCUACCACAAUACACGCAAUGAAUAGCAAAUUUCAGAGCACCAACACAAAGCUUGACCCAUAAUUAAAAGAACUUGAGCAGAUCAGCAGCAGUGGCUAAAGCUCCUGCUGUGAGGGCGGUGCGGACCAUCUUGUCUUGGUUGAUAAUCCCAUCCGACACAGACAGCAUCGCGCCUGUCACGACACCUCCAACCGCUGCAUUCUUCUGUAGCAUAAACCAUACAAAAUAACAUGCAACCACUCAUUUCAAGCUCCCAGAAUAGACCUUUCCAGCACCCAUUUCAUACAAAAGCUUGAUAGUGACCCAUGUUUGUUGAUUCAGCAGAAAAGACAAAAAGAUCAGAGCCCAGGAUGUGGUGCCUUCAACACUCCAUGUGGGGGCCCUCUUGAUCGACUCUCACGUUUGUGGAGCUCAAAGGAGUUCAGUGUGGCCGCAUGAAACAAUAACAAAGUCCAUUAAAGUCUUUACCGAUAAUUGAUGCUGACAUACUUGUUUGUGUUUGGAGAGUGAUUGUUACCCAAUCUUGCUUGCCUCGGGCUCUCUCCAUGCCGUACUCAAUCCCGGCGUAGAUCCCUGCUACCAUGCCUACAUGUUGGGAAUCAGCUGUUGUGGUUGCUUAGUGAGUGAAUAGAGAAAGUUAAAUUUGGUCUUGUGCUUCUUUCCUCCAGAAACAACCGAAGUUUAAGGUUUCAAUCUGUUGUUGUACAACCGAUUACUGCUCGCAAAUCAUAGGAAACAGAGGGAGAGUGUGCGUGUUCUUAUUUGAUGGAGAGCUCUCACAAUCCAUCAAGGGUGUUACUUUAUUUCUUGGGACUUAGAGAUUUUUUGAAAGGUUCACAAAUUGGAAGACACUAUUCUACCUUUUUCAUGUUUGUGUUAUCUAUACGCUAAGAUGAGCGACGCCAUAGUGGAGUUUUCUUUUUUUUUCUUUUAAUUACUUGUUGGUCAACAGUAUGAGGUCAGGUGUGUUACCCCAUUGAAGACCCUCUCUUCCGGCCUUUUUGACCUGCGCCAAUGGAUACAAAAUUCAGGAACUCAUGUAAGUAAACUUAGCCUACUUUUCCCUUGAAGGCGAGAUAAUAAGUGUCGAAGCUCAUGUCUGUGGUGUUGAAGAUUUGACGAGCCGCUCAAAUUCUAAAUUUAUUUUAAAGAUUGAAGUUCCUCAUUUUCCGUGGAGCUUUAAAGACGAGAAUGCAAAGCUCCACUAAUUCCAGCAGACAGAUGACCUUUGUAUCCUCGAGUUCCUUGCAUUCCCAACCAGCGCUUCCCCCUGAAACAUUCUUAAAUGAGUAUGUCCUACAGUCUUUGCGCUCAGAACUAAUGCACAAAUUGUAGAUGCAUCACGAAAGUGGGCAUGGGAUAAUCAUACGAUUCUUUCAAGGUCGCAUUUUGUCGUCGGCACCUCUGCAUCAUCCCCAAGUCCAAACAAGCCACAUGUCAUUUCUGUGGAUACAUACAGUGACCUCAAGCAUGCAUUUUACAUCAGAAGGCUUGGGAAAUUUUGCUGGCUACUGUGAGAGUCCAUUUUCCUGGUCUUUGAAUUCAGAAGUCGGCGUGGGGAUCGAGUCAUAUUCGAAUCAGUUGGCAAGGACAACCAGAGAAAUAGUGAUUGUUUUAAGAGUGGGGACAAAGUUCUGCAAGAAGAUCAAACCACCGUGGCAUAUAUACGGCACUUUAAUCCGAGGACAAUGAGUCGAAGGGCUGGGGUAAUAACCUUUUGAACUUUUUAAACCUCAGUUUUAGGUUAAGCCUCUGUACCUUUCUUCAACAAACUGUAGGCUUCUUGUGUCGCGGCAUGAGCAGCUCCAAUCUGCAUGCGCAGAUACCCAUGUCUACUAGUUUCAGUCUUCCAACCCUUGAUCUUCAAGUUACUGUAAGAGAAGGACAUUUUUCAGAGUACCCACUAUGGUCUAUUCUUCAUUUUGAGCAUACGUUCACUGAAGAAAUCAAUGUAUGUGUGUACCCCACUGAUCUUGAGAACGCUAUCGAGGGUGCAGUUCAGUUGUGGAUUCCCUGUGUCCAUGUAAACAUUCAUAGAAUUAGGCGUUGCGUUGAGUGAGAGUCUUGGGUUCCCCAUUCCUUCACCAGUCCAACUUCCUGAAAACUGGUCUUCACGAUCAAAGAAAUGUGGAACCUAUUGAGCAUAGAAUUCAAUUGUGCAGCACCGUUAGCAUAUGAUUCAGCCCCUUGGUUGUGAAAGAAAAAGAAAAGUCAUAAGGCUCUGGACAUCCGUCAUUCAAAUUGUGUAGCAUCGGAGGUUUUACAUCAUUUCUAACAGUACUGUUCUUGUUGAAUGAUCUGCUUCUGUAGACCUAGCAGUAAUUCAAUUCCAUGAGUAAGACUGGCAUUCUUGAUGUCAAAAGUAUUCCAAAGAUUAGAUCCAGUAUAGUGACGCUACAAUUGAAAACUUACUUCUAACAUCUAAUUUAAUGUCGCACUCGGGUUCCGAAUUCCGGUGGCCUACUCUGAUUUACUAAAAAGUUUGUAGCUUAUGAUCGACAAUCUUGAUAGGCACUCAUCAAUUACAGCACAAGUUCGUUUAGAUUUCUCGCCCUAGUUCAUACCGAAAUCUGAGACGGGUAAUAACGAUCCACAUAUAAGGGAAUUUGAAAAUGACGACCGGAUGGCAUGUUGACCUGGAGAAGGUAGUGGGGUGUUUCUGUAUUGCGUACCAGUUGCAGCAUACCUUUGAAGUGUUCGCUGAAACCCUCAGCGAAAUCUGACGCAGCCGUCGACGCGGAUAGCAACCCAAGCAUGCGUAAGCCUUGAACGAAUACAACCUCCUGUGUCACUCCCAUUCCGCAGCCCUUGAGAUCGACAUUGUACAUGCUAAUUUUCCUCCGUUCGCUCAGUCGGAGUUUAAAGAAUCAACUCCUCCAAUUCAUGGAUCAGUAACUUUCGGAAUUUGCGAAAAAAAUUCAAGGUCCCAAGUCAAUCGCGAAUUCUGACAAACCUAGAGAUGAACCCAACGCAAAUUCGAAUCAGCAAGACACGUACGAAGCUCGUAACCUUGGAUAAAUGCAGGUAUGUUUCAUGCAAUUUCUACACUUCAACGCUUCGCCUGUCGGCGCUGCAUUACACCAGCAGUUGAUCGCCGACACACACCAGCAGCCCUCAUUCAAGUUCCUGAACCACCGAUGGCAAAGAACGUGAACUAGCACUACCAACCUGGUUCCUGCAACCGAGAUACAACUCAACAGUGGCACAAUGGAAUACGAUGAUGGGUUAUUAAUCCAUCACUGAGAACAGCCGAUCGCCAGCACAGGCAGGGGUUUGAGAUUGAGAUAGGCAGAAUGAAUUAGAAACCGCCACUCGUUCGGGACCCCAGAAAAACCUAACGGUUCCCCUACGCUCCUCAUGAGAACCCAACAUCGCAUCACUCAUUGCACAUCUAUUGGCAUCAUCCCACUCGACCUGCUCACGUGAACUCGGCCAGUGGAUGCAGUGGCAUGCAGUGACACAAACUACGAGCGACGAUUUUUCAAAUUGAGCUUCAUUUCAUUAACCACCUUCAAGAGCUAUGAAUCAUCUGUAAUUCGAUUGCAAUCAAAGUCUGAAUGAAUUGGAUUCCCACUGCUGGAGUCGUCUUAGAAAACAGGCAGUGGUGGUUUGAGGAAUCGUUUUGAUUUCCACGCUAGAAUACACCCAUCGACCAACUGGACAAAAAGGAUAAAAUUGCUAUGCAGGUUAUUGCACCAGCUGAAAACUUAAAUCCUGUUGGUGAAACAAUCCAGCACCUUCUCUUCGUUAACCUGCCACGUCAACCCUAGCUAGAAAGUAAUCCUAGUGUGAACAGAUAUUUCUUGUAUAAUCUCAUUUUCAAUAAACAAGCGAGAUUAUGCAACAUGGUAUCAGAGAGUAGCGUUACUCUUAAGUAGGUAGAGGCAUCGAGAAGGUGAGCUCUGCUUCCUUGAAGGUGAGACAACUGGAUACUGGACGAGGAAGAGUCUAGACAUACUUUUAUUUGUAGUUCAUGAUGUCCGACUCCAGGGAGAAGACCUUGAACUGUGAGGUGGGUGAAUCCAAUAACCUGAUAGCACCACAGAACUAUAAUGUCUAAAGUUUAAAAAUGAAAGCAUGUUGAAUGUCCUAUACUAUAUGUAUCAAAAGCUAUGACUUAUCUAGCAUUUAACUAAAACAUCAAAAGUGUCCUUUCUUUGGUUUCAUGCACUUUUUGAUAGCAACAAAAGAGUUCAUCCUACUUUCAUGUUUUCAUCAUGUUUUCAUAAUAUGGUAUCAAAUUUGGAUGAAAAAUAUCAAGGAUGAAUAUCAUUGAAUAAGAUUUGGAUGAAAAUAGAUAUUUUAUGGAUGAAAACUUAGAUAAUCUAUUUGUUGUCAAAGCUCCAUUACUGCUAGAACAUUGCCAAAGUUGAGGAGCUGUUGAGGCCCUGUUGGAGCUCUGUUGGAGCUACUAGAGCUAGAAUUUAAUUCUAUUAAUGGUGAUUUUUAUUUAAUUAAAUUCUAUUUAUUGCUGGUGGUGAAAACAAGUUUUUUUUUGCUCCAAUAUAGCUUGGUACUACAACUACUCUCCAAAUAUUGUAUUUUGUAGAUCAUUUUUUAAUUGAUCCCUUAUAGUUAUUUGUUGCUAUUGCAUUAUUUGUAUUUAGCAAUGGCAUCUUCAAUGAAUCAUUGCAUUAAUCAAUUACAUGAAAAAAACUAUGAUACAUGGGCAUUUGUUAUAAAAUACUUGAUAUGCAUUUGUAAGCUCUAUACGCAUGUAGAUGGGACAUUAAAAUGUCCUAUGGAUAUUAAUGAAAAAUUAAAAUGAGAAUCAAGCAAAGCACAAGCAUAAGCAUUGAUUGCACUUAAUAUUAAGCCUUCAGAAUUAACUCAUAUAUGCAAAUGUAAUAUUGUAAAAGAAAUGUAGAACAUAUUGGCUAUAAUCCACAAGCCUUUAAGUAUUAUUAUUGAGAUAUUUUUAAUAAAGAAAUUAUACAAUCUUUAAUAUGUAGAUGAAAAAUCUAUCAAGAUCUUUUUUGAUGAGAUUUUUGAUCUUAGGGAUCAAUAUAUUGAAGCCGGUGGUGAAAUGGAUAAACAAAGUAUGGCAUUUCUUAUAUUUAUCUCAAAAUCUUGGGAUCCACUUAUUACCAAAAUUUUAUUAUCAAAAUCACCAUUUUUUAUUAUUAGAAUCUUGGGAUCUACUUAUUCAAUCAAUUGUAUUGAGGAAAAGAAAAGAAAUCAUGGAGGACGUGCUAUCUAUUCUCCUUGAAAAAAAGAUGAGAAAGAGGGAAAAGAUUAACUUUCUAUUUUUUCCUUUAGUAAUGCAUGUAAGAAGAAAGUAAGUCUUAAAGAAGCACCAUCCACAACAAAAACAAAAGCCUAAGAUUGAUAAGUAUAAAAGUAUUUGUAGGGCUUAUAGAUAGAAGGGACAUUAGUAAGGUGAUGCAAAAUGUCCUAAAACAAAGAACAAUGGUAUGAUAAAUACUAGAGUAAGUAAAUCUUAUCUUUUGCCUUAUAAAAUUGAAGAAGUUUUCACAAUUUCUAACUCAUCUAUUUAAAGUCAUAUACUUAUUGAAUGGCAUUAAGCAUUAGCACAUACUUCAAUGAAUACAAUAAGAGAGGCAGAGAAAAUGAAUUAUGUUGAAGGAUUAAAGAUCAAGGAAAAAAAGAAUAAAAUAACUUUAUAUAAGUUAUGUAUUAUUGGCAAGGCUCAUAGACAACCAUUCUCACAUAAGAAAAAGCAUAUCAAUUAUAUUUUAGAUGUAAUAGUAUUUGACCUUAGUUAUUCUAAUAUGACUAGCUUUGGUGGUACCAAAUGGUUAGCUGUGUAGAUUGAUGAAUUUUUUAGCUAUUGUAGCCUUGAAUUUCUUUAAAUUAAGGACCAAAUAAAUAUUUUUUUAUAAGACUCGAAAAGUAGAGGCACAAAGAAGAAUUGGAAGAAAUGUAAAAACUUUUUUCAUUGAUUAAAGCAAUGAAUUCUGAAAUAAUAAGCUUGGUUCUCAAUUCAAAGUAGAAGGCAUUUGGCACAUAAUCUCUCUUGCAUAUAUACAUGAAAUUUUUAAUAUGGUAGAGUGUAUAAUAUAAACUAUUUUUGAAGGAGUACAAAUACUUCUAAAUAAUGCUAAGUUAGAUUGUCAAUAUUAGGUAUUUGCAGCAAAAUUUGUAAUUUGGAGUGGUAAUCACCUUCUACUUAGAAAUCUAGAUGGUAAGACAUUAGAUGAGAUUUUUUACAAUAAAAAUUUUUCACUUAAAAAUAUUCAUUGCUUUGGUUUUCUUGCUUAGUAUUACAUAUCAAAAAAAAAAAAGGAUAUUUUUGUUGGAUAUUCAAAAGUAACAAAAGAAUAUAAAAUUUUUCUAUCUAAAAAGAAGAAGGUGAUUUUUAGUUGAGAUGUGAUUUUUUUUAAUAACAAGAAUGAAUUAUUUGGUGAGCUAUUAGUUCUUUAAGAGAAAAUUAGAAAAGAUAUGGAUUAUAGAAAUAAUCUUGAUAUAUUAGAUUUUUAACAUCCAAAUGAAUUAAAAAUAUUCCAAAUUCAAGCCUCAAGAUUAUUUAGACAUAAUGGAUUGGAUGGAGAAAUGGUUGAAGGAGAAGCAAAUCCUAUACCAAUAAAAGUAGUGGAAUUCCAUCAAUCAGAAGUGGAGGGAACCACUGAAGCUCUACUGCUAAGACAUUGUUAUAUAAGUGGUAUUGAUCCAAAAAAUAUUAUAAGUGGUAGUAGGAUGCAACGUACAUCUUAAAAAAAAGAAAAAAAAAAUAUUUGAGUAAAUUAUGACUUGCCAAUUGAAACAAUGGAUAUGAUUCAUAUUAAUGAAUAUGCAGAACUAUAAAUUCUUUUUUUUUGUAAAGAAUGAAGUCAUGCCAUGAAGGAAGAAUUCAAUUCUUUAAAAGAUCAUGGUAUAUAGGAAUUUUCAUUUUUAUCCAAUGGUAGGAAGGCUAUGGAUUCAAAAUGGAUUUUUUUUAAAAAAUCUUGCUAGUAAUGGCUCCAUUAAAUAUUUUAAAGUACAAUUAGUUGUAAAAGAUUUUAUUCAAGUAAAAGGACUUAAUUACCAAAAAACUUUUGUAUCAAUUACUUGCCUUAUAAUAAUUUAUAUAUUUGUUGCAAUGGUCAAUACCUUUAAUUGGAAUAUGUUGUAACUUCAUAUUAUUUCAUCUUAUUUAAAUGGUGAACUUUAAAAAAUAGAUAUUUAUAUAAAAAUUCUAGAAAGUUUGGAAGUUUAAUUGAAAUAUAAAGAUAAGGUGUUGUAGUUGCUAAAGACUUUAUAUGAUUUGAAGCAAUCUAAACAAGGAUGCAACAAAAGUUUGGAUAAAUCUUUAUUGAAUCUUAGUUGAAAGUGCUGAAAAUUAGAUCUUUAUUUUAAUACGAUAUAUAUUAUAGAACUAAUUAUUAUACUAAUUAUUUAUGUCAAUGACAUAUUAUCAUGGAAAUAUAUAUAUAUAUAUAUAUAUAUAUAUAUAUAUAUAUAUUAUAGAUUAGUAUGCCUAAGAAUUUUAAUGGAACAAGAUCAAAAUUUUGAUGAUUUUUGCAACAAGUCAAGCUCUAUCUAAGGUUGCAUCUUUUUCAAUAUCUUGAUGGAUUUACUCAAGUUGGAUUCAUAGAUACACUUCUAUCAAGAAAUACAAAUCAAGAGAAAGCAAACUUAAUAGAAAAAGAUUUGUGAUUCUUUUAUGAUUUGAAUUCAUUCUUAGAAGUGUUUACUACCACAUUUGGAAAAAGUGAUCAAGAAAGAAGAGCAAAGACCUAGCUCUUAUCUUUACAACAAGGAUCACAGUCAACUAUUAUAUAUGCUGUUAAAUUCCAAAACCUUGCUUGCAAUAUGGACCAGAAUGACAAAGUCCUUAUCAAUUAAUUUUAAUAUAGGUUGAAGGAUAAUAUCAAAGAUUUUUAUUGAUAAUACUCAAGACAAAAUCUUUAGAACAAUUUAUUGCUCAAGCCAUUACAUACAAAAAUUGAUUAUUUGAAAGAUGUCAAAGACAAAGACUUAAUUAGAGAAGAAUAAAUCAAAUAAUAUCGGCUAAUGAACAAGUUUUCAAAAACGUAUUCAUCAAAGCCAAAACUAAUGUAAAUUGAUACGAUAUGUUUUAAAUUCUUCAUGGAACAAAAAAAGAUUCAAUAACUUCAAGAAGAAUUAUGCUUAUAUUGUGGAGAAGCUAAAUAUACUACUCAACAUUAUUCAAAGAAACAAUGCAAUCACAAAAUGAGAAGCAUAGUUGCUAAAGAAGACAAUGUGUCAAAAAAAAAUUUCUUCAAUUACAAUUGAGAUUGUACGGCUAAAAUCUUACAUAACUUCUAGUAAAGAUCUUAUUCUCUCUUCAAAAUCUUCACCUUGUUUUACAAUAGAAGUUUAUUUAGGACCAAAAUUCAAAAAGUCUUAACUUUGUUAGAUUCAAGAGCCUCAACCUAUUUUAUAGAUAAAGAUUUUAUCAAAAAACAAGAGAUAUUGCUAAUCAAGAAAACUAAAUGAAUACAUAUAAAAGUUAUAGAUGAUUAUUUUUCAUCUUUUAGAAAUAUUAUACAUCAAAUUGUUUCUUUAGAUAUAGCAAUUAAAGAUUAUAAUAGCCUAAUAAUAUUUAAUGUAAUAAGAUCUCUAUCCAAAUUGAUUAUUUUAAGAUUAUAUUGAUUAAAAAAAUAUAAUCUUUAAAUAGAUUAGAUUUCUUAUAACCUUAUUUUUUUUAAUAGUUUAAUCCAAAAUCUCAUUAGUCAAAUAAAAAUAUAUAAGUCUAAUACAUCAAAACCAUUACUGAUAGGUACAAGAACUUUCAUGCAUGUCGCAAAAAAGGGUUAUCUUUUGCUUUAUAUGCCACAUCCAUUUUUGAUGGUGAAAAGACAUCAAGUAAUAUUCCUAGCCAAUAUCAAGAUUUUAAAGUUAUUUUUGAAAAGAAAAAUAUAUAUAUUCUUCAAAAGCAUCAUCUUUAUGAUUAUUCCAUUAAUCUUUAUGAAAGAGCUUAACUAUUAUUUGGACCAAUCUAUAGCAUAUUACAAAACGAGUUGGUUGCAUUCAAAGAAUACAUUGAUGAUAACUUGGUUAAGAAUUUCAUAUGCCAUUCUAAAUCUCAAACCAAGGCUCCUAUCUUAUUUGUGAAGAAAAAAGAUGGAUCUCUACAGAUGUAUGUGGAUUAUCAAAGAUUCAAUAAAAUCACCAUCAAAAAUAGAUAUCUUCUAUUUUUGAUUUUAAGACUUUUUAAUUAAUUUAAUCAAGCAAAGAUCUACAUAAAAAUAGAUCUAUAAAGAGCAUAUAAUUUUAUAUGCAUUAAAGAAAGAGAUAAAUGAAAAACUAUAUUUUGAAUUAGGUAUGGAUAUUUUGAAUAGAAUAUCAUACCUUUUGGAUUCAAAAAUGCACCAAUUACUUUUCAACAUCUAAUGAAUGAUGUCUUUUGUGAGUUUUUUUUAUGAUUUUGAUGUUUGUUAUUUAAACAACAUCUUAAUUUAUUCUAAGAAUAUCGAAGAGCAUGAAAUUCAUGUGUGUUAUUUAUUACAAAAACUUAAAGAUGUAAGAUUAUAUGUCAAAUUAAAAAAAAUAUGUAUUCCACACUCCUCAAGUCAACCUCUUAGGAUACAUUAUUUUCAACAAACGACUAAUGAUGGAUCUAAAGAAGGUCCAAACUAUUAUAGAUUAGAAGAUUUUAAGAACAAUAAGAGAUGAACAAUGAUUUUUAGACUUUGUUAGUUACUAUUGAAUCUUUAUUAAGAAUUUUUCUCAAGUUACAAUUCUAUUUACACAUUUGAAUUGUAAAAAUAAACUUGAGUGAAAUAAAAAAGUCAAAGCAUCAUUUGAUACUUUAAAAAAGAAAUUUAUUUUUGUACUAAUGUCAAGGAUAAGAACUUGAUCAAAGCAAAUAAACAAAUAAGACUUUUUUAAAGAAAUAGAAAUAGAAAUGUAUGUAUAUUACAAAAAAACUAGAAUGGCUAUUAUCAAAAGACAAGGAAAUUAAAGAUUCUUGAAAGUAGACUAGAAACAAGAAAGGAGUUAAGAAGAGUAAAGAAGGCUUCACUUUUACUUCUAUAUACACUAUCUAUUUAGGAUCUAUGUACAAAUAUUCUAUAAGUCCUCCAAAAAUAUAUUAACUUUGCAUGAUACAUUGUCGUAUUAUGUAUUGUCUUGCUUGGAAAUGCAUUAGGCACCUAGCUAUAGAAGAUGAAAUUGAGUUUCAUAAACAUCCAAAAAAAAUCCUAAUAGGUUUUAUCCAUAUGAAAAGAAUAUAAUCCAAAUUCUAAUUCAAAAGUGCUAAAAAACACUUUUUUUAGUAGCCUCAAUUACCUUGUUAUUUUCAUAUUUAAGCAAUUAAAAUUUUUCUUAUAAGCCCCAAUCAUAAUCAAUGAAUUUUAACAAGCUGUAACUUCUAAUCUGACUUUCUACUUGAUGUAAAAUUUUGCGUGCUAUUGUCAAUAUAAGUCUUCUAUAUGCUCAAGAAUUUUUAGCCUAAUCCAACUUAGAAAUUGUAAAAAAACCUCCAAAAAUUGCACUAAUGUCACUCAGCUGCCAACUUGAAAAGUGAAGUAAAAAUCCGAGUAGUGUAAUCUCCUUUUCCAACUAUUAACUUUGACUCAAAAUUUUUGUGCAACUUGAUCUUCAAGUCCUUCAACACCAUGCCAAAUUUCACCAUGAUUUGACAAGUAGAUCUCUAAAUAUCAUAGAAACCCUACAAUCUCAAACUACCAACUUCUAAAACCCUCUUAAGCUAGAAAAUAGAUAUCUCUAAACCACACCAUUAGAUUAUCACAAAAUUUUUUAUACACUUAGCAUACCUAAUAAUCUAAAUAGUACCAAAUUUUGAACCAUAGAUGUUACACCUAUUGCACGAACUAGCCAAAAUUACUAGUGCUAGUUAUAUUAUAUAAAAUCCAAAUCACCAAUACAAAUCCUAACUUUGAAUAAUAAUUUUUAAGUUCUCAAAAAUCCUAAAAAAUAAUCCUUAUGUCUUUGAAAAGAUCUUAAAGCUAACUCUUCAAUCAUAAUUCCCGAUCUUCAAAUGCCUUUCUAAUUUGCCCUAGGUGAUCAUUUUAGUAACUAGAGUUUUGAUUUUGAUCCUAUCUCACAAAUGGUCAAUCCUUGGGUAUCAAUCUAAUCUAUUCUAAGGAUUUUUUAGUCCAAUGCUAUCUUCAACUUGAUCCUAGUAUCAACCAUAUCAACCAUUUAUCUCUUCUACCCUGAUUUUAUCAAUUUAUGGCCUUUCUAAGGUAGUAAAAGAGUUUCUAUAUCCUAGAAGGUAAAAAUACUAAUUAACUUUUAUCUACUUGCUAUUAAGACAAGAAAAUAGGCUAAGAGACUUUUAUAAAAGUCUUAUAAAAAUAUUUUGAAUUUUUAUUGAAUUAAUAUAAUAGAAUAUUAAUUAAAAAAAUUAUUUCUAGUCAUAUUUUUACCAUAUAAUUGCAUCACAACACGAUAAUGUAUCUUAACUUGCAAGGCAAGUUUUCUAUAUGGGUGCUACAUAAUUAGCUUCUUCUACAAGCUACCAAUAUAUGUGAUAUAUGGUUAGCUUAUUGACUAAGUUUUUAACCUAUCAAUCAAGUAUAAAUAUAUGUAAAGCCUAAAGAGUAUCUAGAAAGCUUCUAAAAAGCUUAUCUAAAAGAUAUUAUGAAAUUAAUCUAUUUUUACUUAAUUCUACAUAUUCAUAUUAUAUAGAUAAUAAUUACAAUAGAUAUAUACUCAUGACAUUAUUCUACCCUCUAGGGACGAGUUCCAUAAGAAGUGGUGAUCACAUGUUGAAAAAGUCUAAGAUGCGACAAAUUAUAUUGGUAAUAUUUCAAAGAUAGAAAACCACCUUGUUAUUUGAUCAUUAUUGAAACCUUUGUAACUUCCUUCAAACAAAACAUUUGUAAUACCAUGAAGAAUCAUUCUUAUCUCCAAUAAAAUCACCAAACAUCAAGAGUCUAUUCCCAGGUCGUAAUACCAAAUAUAUUGUAACUUGCCAUCUAUUCAAGGAAGAACCUAUUAUUCUUGAAGGUCUUCAUUUCUAUUACAUCAUCUUAAAGGGCAUAAUAAAAAUAUUUCAUUUAAUAAGUGAACAAAUAAUGGCUUUUGAGUUGAAUCCAUUGAAUGUUCAUUUUCCAUCUUUUUAACACUAUAAUUAUAUAAAAACUAUAAACAAAGACAAAAGUUAGAAUGUAUUUUUUAAAAAAUUUUGUUUUUUUCAUAACAAAGAUUUUCUAUCCUUCAUCUUGGUUUUGAUAGAUAUUAUUGAUGGAAAACUUUGAUAUUCUCUAUUGUAUUUGUAAGAUUUUUUACUAGCUUCUAUGUGCAUUCUCUAAUAUCAUAUCUACGCCAACGAAUAAGAUAUUUCAACCUCUGUUGGCAUUGCCUUGAGUCUAAGACUUCUUCCACCUUGAGUUCUUGAUUAUUAUCCACUUUUGUAGAAAGUGGUGGUAUUUCUCUUCUUUUUGGGAUAUUCACGAUCUUAUAUGGCUCUGAAAGAGAUAUGUUGUCAUAUUACGUGAAGUCUUCUUUGAGAAUGCAUUAAGCACCUAGUUGUGGAAGGUAGAAUAGAAAUCAAAAUAACAAAAUCUUAACUCUAAUAGAAUAUUAAAUAAAUUCUAAUUAAACCUUAACAAUGCUAAGUAAGCUUUAAUCAAAUUCAAAAGAAACCUUAUAAAAAUUAUAAAAAAAAUAAUAAAAAAUCUUAAAGAAGUUAAAAAAAAUUAACAAUAAAAUUUAAAAGAAUCCUUAAAAAAAUCAUAAAUAAAUAUUACAACAAUCACAAAUAUAUCUUAAAUAAAUUUCAACCAAGUUUUAAUUUAAUCCUAGUUAAAAUCUUAAUAGAUUUCAAUAAAAUCCUAAUUAAAGCUUAAAUCAUAAAUCUAAAGUAAAUCCUAAGUCUUAAAUCCUAAAUAAAUCUUAAAUCCUAAAUCUUAAUUAGACUUACCAAAUGAAAAAGAAAUCAAAAUCCCCUCAAGUAUCAAUUUGCCUCCUUCUUCAAUUUUGAUGUUCAUCUUUUAGUACCAAUAUUUCUUUCUUAUACCAUUCAAUUUUUUUUUCAAAUUCAUAUAUAUGUAGAAAAUCAAGUCUAUUACAUUUAUAUAUAAUUUUCACUCUAAUCCAAUUAGUAAAUUACUAAAGAUCCUAAAAACUCUAACUAUCUCUCAAAGUCCAAUUUUUGAGACCUAAACCUAUUUGAAAUUCAAUAGCCUUCAAUUCAACCAUUUGAUCAAGCUCAAACUUAUAGCAUAUAUUUUAAAUAACCAUUCUUAUAAAUCUUUGAAAUUUAAACUAUAGAUCUACCACCAAACUCUUAAAAUUCUUCAAAACGUAAUAUCUUUUUUAUUUUAUAAAUUUUAAAAUCACCUAAAACAAUCAUGAUUUUGUGAAGCUUUUAUUAUAUUAUUAUACAUUUAAAUCAAUUAAAAUCAAUGUCUAAAGAAAUCUUAAUAAAUUUUUUAUUAAAUCCCUUUUUUUGAUUUGCCAAAGAACCCUGGAGUUAUCAUAGGUAUAUGGUUUUGUACCUUGGGAUCUAAUUUUGAUUUAGGUUGACAACCAAUCCUCUUUAGAUAUCAAUUCUUAGCUUCUUGAGGUAAUUUUUGCUAAAAUCUAUUCUUAAUUCCUUCCUACAUAUGCUUAUAUCAUUUUAUUUUCUAAUUUACUUUGUUUUGUUUUAUUAAUGGUCUUAAAAAAUGAAUAAAAGCCUAUUUUGUAAAAAGAUAGUAAUAAAAUCUUUUAGUUUUACUAUCUUUUUGAAUAUUACUUAUUUUCUAAGAUAUUUGCUAUAAUAUUUAAAAAUAAGAUCUUCUAUAAUAUAAUGUUUUCUUCUCCCUUUCAUUCAUUUACUAUGUUACAUCAUGGCAUCUACGUCUCCUAAGCUUGUGCACCCUUUGACAUAUACCAAAUUUUUUUUAUUAUAUUAAUAUAGAAUAUUCUUUGUCUUGAUCAGAUUCUUGACCUUUAAUUUACUCUUCUUUUGUCAUCUCAAUGUUUUGUAAUAGAUUUUAUUUUUCAUCAAAAUGAAUAUUUUUACUUCUUUAUUUAAAUAACUUGAUUCUCUCACCUGCUAUAGGUAUCUUUAAUUCAGUACCAUCAAUUUCUUGUAACAAGUAUGUUCCAUUAUUAUAUACAUAUUUGACAACAUACGGUCCAAAUCAUCUCCUUACAAAUUUCUUUGCUAUGAUAUAUUGGUUGUCUAAACUACUAUCAUAAAUCAACAUCCAAUCACUAUUUUGAAUUAGUUUUGGACACAAUUAAUAUUUUUUAUUAAACCUCUUCUUAUUUUUCUCCUUUGCCUCUUUCAACUUUCUUAUAGCUAUCUCAAUGUCAUCAAAUCUUCUUUAAACUUGUCAAAUUCAUAAUGCUAAUAAUUCUUUCCUUGUUAAACCAUCUUUUUAAGGUAAUAUAUUACAUAUUGAAAUAACCUCUUCUCUUGGCAUCGCCGGUUUUUGUCUAUACAAUAAUUCCACUGGCAUAUAUUCUAUAACUAUUUUUAUAUUAUAAAUGCUUAUAGUAUGUAAAAAUUAGUUAAAAAAUAUUUUAUGUUCAUAAGUCUUGAUGUGUGUUAGAAUGGUUAAUAAAUUAAUUUAAAGAGAGUGGAUAUAAGAAACAUUAUUUUAAAUUUUAAAUAUUUUUAUUAUAGUCUUUAAAUUAUAUAAGAUUUAGAUGUUUAGUAUAGAGCUUUAAGAGUAGGUGGAAGCCUAAGGAUGAAAAUCUAAACUACUAAGAGGCUUAUAGAGAAGAACGAAAUCAAGGCAAGGUCAGAUGAAGGCAAAAAGUAAUCUUUAUCCCUAUCACUCAAAGGCCAUGCCUAAUGGACAUUCAGUAAGCUGUCUGCGACCAUAAUAAGGAUUUUGGCGACUUCAAAAGAGAUAUUUAAGAAUCAAAAGCAAAAAUUAUAAGGUUUAAAAUUUGAGCUAUAAUUUUCAUAUAAAUUUUAAAAGAUUUGGAAUUAAAGUGAUGAAGUUAUAGCUGCUUGAAGUUAAGGUGUCUUUUUAAGAUAUACUAUUACUAUUUUGAAGAUACGAGGAGUUUUAUGAUAGAUUUUGGAAAUUAAAAGGUAUGACCAUAAGAGUGAUUUCAAGAUCUAUAUUUUUUGUGAAAGAAUUCCUACAUUUGGAGUUUGUAUGAAGAAGUUAUAGAGCAUUAAAAAUAGUACAUGUGAUUCAGAGGCAAUAAGUGAGUGAUUUUGUUGAUAGUAAUGGUUGGAGCCAUAUCUUGAGUUUUUGGAUGAAAUUUUGAUUAAAAUAUCUUAGAAGUGUGUGUUAUUGAGUUAAAAAGCUAUAUAUUAAAAUUUUAUGGUAUUUAAAUACUUGAUUUAUGAGAUAUGAAGAAAUUUACACACAUAUAUAUAUAUAAGUAAGGGUUUGAAGCUAGUGUUAGAAUUUUGGCAAUAUCUCAAGAUCUAUAACAAAUUUAUAGUUGAAAUUAAUUAUGGUAGUUUUUAAAAGUAUAUUAGUACUUCAUAUAAAAUUUGGAUUUUUUUGGAUAGUCUGAUCAUAAGAUAUAAGCUAUUGAAGUUUAGGAAGAAUUUACUUUAAGGAUAUUCAAGUUUUUUAUAGUAUUUUUAUCACAUUUUCGGUGAUCUUUGGUACUUAAGGCUUAUGUAGUGAUGUAAUUAUCCAUAUAGGGAAAAUUUUAUAUAUAGACUUAGUAUUUUCUUUAUUUAGAGGCUUAGUUGAAUAUUUAGUGAUAGCUAGAAGUCCAAUGCUUUCUUAAGAUAAAUUCUCUCUACCACGACAAGUAGAGAUGAGAAAAUUGUAAAUAAAAUUUACAAAAUUUGAAGAGAAGAGGCAAUAAUCAAGAGUAUCAAAAAAAUAAAGGUUAGGAUUGAUGGAAGGUGUAGUAUAUAAGUGCAUGUGGUGUGAUAACAUGGAUCAUUUGAGAAGAUAAUGUAAAGAUUUUACAAAGGUGUUAUGUAAAGGAAUUAUUUUUUUCAAAGAUGGUAUGAUAUACCUAAAAAGAAGUAGACAAAAAUUAGAGACAAACUUUGGUAAUAGAGGUAUAAAAUCAUUGAUGGUUCAUGCAAUAGAAAUAAAGACAUAGGGGAUUGGACUUACACAUGAUUAUAUGGGCAUAAGCAUUGAAGGAGCAGAUCAUAUAAAUUCAUUAUAGCCAAGUAGAAUAAAGUGUUCAACAAAAGAGAAGACUUCUAGAGAUAUAUUAGUUAAUACAAGCAAGUCUAUUUGAUAAACCAUGGAUUGGAAUGAUCGGGUUGAUAGUCUAUCUAUACAUAUAUAUAUUACAAAAAGUCAAAAUGAAGCACUAAUAGAAGAAAAAAAAAUGAGACAUGAAAAUAAUGAAGGACCAUCAAAAAGAAUUACAAGAAGAAAAAAAGUAAGAUAACAAAAGAAUCCUAUGCAUGAAGAAACAACAAAGAAUAUUUCUACAAAAAAAUAUAUGUAUAUGAAUGAAAAAACAAAGAUUUUUGCUUAUAAAUUACAAUCAAAUAUUGAAGCAAAAAUGGAUUUGAAGAAGAUUUUAGAAGAAUACAUUUUAAAUGGUAUGGUAGAAUUUACAUUGGAAGAAGUUUUUUGCAUAGCAAAGAGGAAGUUUCAUGAAGUCAUCAUAGGUAUUAUAAAGAAGAAUCAAUAAAUUUUGGAUGAGAAUAUGGCUUCAAAUGCACAUGGGACAAGAGUGAUGAUAGAUGGAGAAGACAAUGAUUAUGCAUAUGAAGAUGUUUCUUGUAUAAGGAUUAUGAAAAAAGAAGAAGAAAUCCAAACUUCUAGUCAUUAUUCUUAUACUCAUUGUGCAAGAGUAACAAUAGAGAUAUUGGUGAAAUUAAAAAAUUUAAAAGAACCUAUUGUGGCAUUAAUUGAUGAUGGUUUUGAGAUUAAUUUGAUGUCAAAAGAGUUGUAUGAAAGAAAAAAUUGGCCUAUUGGCACCAAGCAUAUGUCAAUAAUUCAAGCAGCAAACAACUCAUAAAGAGAAUUAUAUGAGGUAUGUCUAAAUAUGAAGAUUACAAUAAGAGAUAUUAGUAAUGAAUAAAACUUCUUUGUUCAAGAUAUGUCUACUUAUCCUAUCAUUCUAAGACAAUCUUAUAUUACAACUAAUUACAUAUAAACAAAGGUUAUGGAUAAUGUAUUGACAUAUGUAUAAAUUAGGAGUUGAGAUUGAACAAGAAUAGUGUAAUUUUUGACAAUAUGUGCUAAUCAUAAGAAAAAUUGUGGGAGUUUGAGAGAGCAACCUUUGUCGGAGCAUACUAGAGAAUUUAGAAAUGAGUAUGUAAGGAAUUUUUACCACAUGCCAUUAUAAAGCAAGGUUGCAAUGAUAAAAGAGGUGAUGGCUUGCCACUUAUUAAAAGAAAUGAAGCCAUUGUUGCAUUAUCAUGAGAUGGAUAUACUUUAUUUAAAAAUAUAAAUAAUUUUGAAAGAAUAAAGAAGAAAAAUAUCAAAAAUAUAAAACAUCAGUUGAAGAAAUGUGGAGUACUUGAUGAAGAUGAAUACAUAUUAGGGAUAUUUAAAAAAAGUGGCUUUGGUGAUACUAUGGAUAAAUUGCAAGUAUUAUUGGAUUUAAAUUUUGAAGGUGAUGAUAAGGUAGUAAAUAUGCAAUCUAAGGAAUUUUAGAAUAAAAUGAAAGAAUAUAUUGAUAGAUAUAAUGUAAAGGUGGAAACUAAGUACAAGAUUGUUGAUAAGAAGGUCAAAUUAGUGGCAUUGCCACUACCAUUAGAUUAUGAAAAGAGAGUUGAAAGGGCUUCUAUGCAACCCAAUUUGAGAGAUCCAAGAAAAUAGGAUAUAAAUUUAAAGAUAAUUUGACAUUAGAUGGAUUGAAGGUUAGAUGUGAAGACUUUUUGACAAAAGAUGAAGAAAGAUGUUUCAAAGAGAUGUUUUUUUAGACAUAGCAAUGCAUUUGCAUUUGAAUCAAAUGAAAUAAGAUAUAUGGAUCUAAGUAUGGUGGCUCCUAUGGUUAUUUUCACAAUUCCACAUAAACCAUGGAAUUUAAGGCCAAUUUCGGUUCCAAAGGCCCAUUUUCCUAAGCUUGUUGAAUUAUUCAAUGAAAAAAUUAAGAUGGAAAUUUUAGAACCAUCUGUUGCACCAUAUUCUAAUUGAUGGUUCAAAAUACCUAAAAAAACAAAAUAUUGAGGUUUAUUCAAGAUAUGCAACCGAUAAUUAAAGUGACUAUUAAGAACAUGGAUUCUAUUUCAAUAGUGGAUGAAUUUGCAAAGACAUUUAUAAGAAAAAUAAUUUAUUAUAUGUACAAUCUUUAUUCAAAAUAUAAUCAAUUUCAAUUGGUAAUAUAAAGCAAAGAUUUACCAAUUAUAAAGAUGCCAUUAGGAUUGAUCAAAAUGUAUACAUUAGCACAAGAGGCUAUAAGUCUUUGUAGUAUACAUGAUAAAUGGAAUGCAUAAGAUAUUAAAAAAAUUUAUUCCAAGUAUAAUAAAUACCUUUUUUAAAUGAUAUGCCAACUAAGAAAUGUGAACAAGAAAAAAAAGACGAAACAUUAGAUUAAAGAGAUAUAGGAAGUUUGUGGUAGAUCAUAUUGAUGAUUGUGAGAAGAUUUUAAUAAGAUUAAAAGAAUUUCUUUUAACCUUAUCAGGGAAAAAAUUAAUAUUUGGAAUAAAAAAAGUAUUGGUGGUAGGACACAUGUGUACAUGAUACAGACGUAAGUCAAGUAUAGAAAAGAUUGAUAUUAUUAAAAAGAUAAAAGAAUGUACAAAUUCAAUAAAAGUUCAAAGGUUUUUAAGAGCAUGUAUUUUUUUAUCAUAUAUGGAUAUUUCAUUUUGUACAUGUAUCAAAUCUAUUAUAUGAGUUGUUACAAAAAAAUCAAAAAUUUCAUUGAAAAGAAAAACAAAGAAAAACCAUAGAAAAAUUAAAAGAACUUCUUUUUUUACCUCUAACUUUGAAAAAAGUAAAUUAUGAAUAUAGAUCACUGAUAUUGACAGUUGAUGCAAGUCCAUUUGAAAUAGGUUGAAAAAUUAGACAAGAUAAAAAAACAAGGAAAUAGAUAUAUAGUAAGAUUUGAGACAAAGGUUUUGAAUGAUAGGCAAAGGACAUAUGUAAAAAUUAAAAGAAAAUUUUAAAAUAUAAUAAUAGCUAUGAAAAAUAAAAAAGAAUACUUGAUUGGUGUAUUGAUAUAUAUAGAAACAUAUUGUUUGCUCUUAUUAGGCAUGAAUACUAGUUGUUUUAUAUUAGAUAUAGCAAUAUUAAGAUGGAUUGCAUAUAUAAAAUUUAUGAAUCCGGAAUUCAAGCACAUUUUGAAAAAAAAAUAAUAUGGUUACAAAUAUGUUGUCACAAGCACAAUAUGAUGAUGAAGAAAAUAUUGGCACUAACUUUAAUUUGACUUUGUAUGCAAGAAGGGAUGAAUUGUGUUUGACUAAACCACUUCAAUUAUUCUUAAAAGAGUUAUAUGAUGGUAAAUGGUUAUAUAUAGGAAAAUACUUAAGUACAUUAAAGCGACAAGAAGAUUGGACAGAUUAUGAAUUUAAAAGAAUUUGGAAAAAGACCUAUGGAUAUUUUUUUCAAGAUAGAUUUUAAUAGAAGCAUCGAAAACAAAGGGAUUGAAUACCACAACAAGUUGUAUGUGACUAUGGAAUUCAACAAAAUAUCAUUAAAGAAUUUCAUGAAAGUUGGUGGACCGAACAUUGAAGUAUUUGGGCAAUAUUUGCAAAAAUAAAAGAAAGAUAUUAAUGGAAGGGAAUAUAUAAGGAUGUAGCGAAUUUUGUAGGAUCUUAUGAGACUUAUCAAAUUUAUUCAAAAAUUCGUCAUCUAAAUGGAUUAUAUCCAACAUACCAAUUAGCAAUUCACUACAAAUAGAUAGUUGAUUUAGUUGCAAUGCCAACAGGGCUUGAAUAAAAGAAAUAUUUGGUACUUCCUAAGUAAGAUUUGACAAAUCAAGUUGAGGAGAAAGUGCUUCAAACAAAGACUACAGAAAGAGUAUGUCAAUUUAUAUUAGAGGAAAUUAUUUGUUGGUAUGGUUGUAUUAAAAAAAUCACUGUAGAUAGAUAGAAAUUAGAUGCAAAUGAAGCACAAGAAUUCUUUUAGAGGAUGGGCAUUAGACUUGUAUUAACAAUUAUAUACAAUCCGAAAGGAAAUGGUAAGAAUGAAUGUCAAUAUUCUCUAAUUGUUAAAGCAUUGAUUAAAGCAUGCAAAGACAAGAUAGGUGAUUGGCCUAAGUUAUUACCAUUUGCAUUAUGGAUAGAUUUCACAAUUUAUAGUAUAGUUAUGGAAUACAUGCUAGCAAAAUUAAUGUAUGGACAAAAACUAGUGAUGCCAAUAGAAGAAGUUGUAUCAAUAUAAAAUAUAUUACUUUAAGAAGAUGGUUUAAUUCGAGAAGAAUUAUUAGCAUUAUAAAUUUGAAAACUUGAAAGAAGAUCCAAAGACAUUGAGAUAGCUAUAAAAAAGUUGAAAGAGGCAAGAAAAAAACAAAGAGAGAUUUGACAAAAAACAUCCAUUGUAUUCAAAACUAAUUCAAAAUGGUGAUUGGAUGUUGAUUUAUGAUAGUAGUUUGAUCAACCAACAUAUCAUGGCAAAGAAAUUUGCAAGGAGAUAGUUUGGACCUUAUAUUGUCAAAUAAAUAUAUGACAAUGGAAUGUGCUUAUUAUGAGAACUUAAUGGUACAGAAUUAAAGAUAUCUAUAGCGGGUAAGAGAAUCAAGUCAUUUAAAUAAAGAGAUAAAAAUAUUAAUUUUAAUAAAGAAAAAAUAUAUUACAAGACAUUGAGAUAGAAGAAGAAGAAGAUAAAAUUGAAGAUUAAGAAUUUGAUCAAGACGAAAGACACUCUAUAUCAACAUAUUGAAGAAUCAUUGGUGCAUACUAGAGGAUGUAUAGAUUUAGAGAGAGGUAGAUGUCAUGAUGUAAUACAACUAAUAUGUGAAAAAGAUGAAAAAACUAACAUAUUAUUGAAGAUCUUACUUCAAAUAUUGUAAUAAAUUAUCUUAAAAAAUAAAUAAUAGUCCAAAAAAAAAAUAUAUAUUUAAAUACUAUCAUUUUGAAAAGUAGGCUUCUAUUUACUUUGUAAAGCCAUAAAUAAGGCAAAAUAAGAAAGAUAAGAAAAAUAAAGAAUAUGAGCAUAUGUAAGAAGAAUUUAGGAGUUGAUUUUAACAAAAUUUAACUAAAAAAGGAAAAAAAUGAAAUCCAAAGAAGAGUAGUUAUUAAUUUAGAUUAAAAAUAGACCUUGAGAUAUAAAAUUAGGUACCUAUAGUAAUUCCAUAGUUCUUUUGCAUAUCAAAGAUUUAGAUUUGAGAGUAAAAUUUAUUUUGGAUGAUUCUAGAAUUUAUGAAAUAAAAAAGGUAUUACGAUUUGGAAUAUUUCAAAAGUUUGAUAGUAGAUCUAUGGUUCAAAUUUUGAAGAUUUUUGUGAAUAGUUAUUUAGAGUGUAUGUUGUAACUUUGAGCUUGAUCAAAUAAUUGAAUUGAUGAUUAUUAAAUUUUAAGUAGGUUGAAGUCUUAGAAAUUAGACUUUAAAGGAUAGUUACAAUUUCUAAGAUUUUUAGCAAUCUACUAAUUAGAUUGAAGUAAAAUAUAUGUAUAAAAAUAAAAGACUUAAUUUUCUCUCUCUAUAUAUAUAUAUAUAGAAUUUGAGAAUAAUUGAAUAAUUUGAAAAGGAGAUAUUGGACCUGGAAGUUCAAUGUUUAGAUUGAAGUACGAGGCCAGCCAAUACCUAAGCAAAUUUUAGGAUUUUAUAUCUAUUUGAUAAGUGCAAUUAUCUUCAAAUUUAUUUUUUUAUUUUUUAACUAAGAGGUUGAGAGGCCUGUAAAUUUUUAAGCAUGAUAAAAAAUUUAAUCAAUAGAUAUUAGGAUUCAAAUUCGCUCUAGGAUUUGAUUUAGGAUUUAAGAUUUUUUUAGGAUUUGGUGUAAGAUUUAGAGUUUUUUUAAUAUUUGAUUUAAGAUUUAAUAUUUUUCUAGGAUUCGGUUUAGAAUUUAGGAUUUAUUUGGAAUUUGAUUUAAGAUUUAAGAUUUGUUUAAAUUUUGAUUAAAGAUUUAGGAUUUUUUUAGGAUUUAAUUUAGAAUUUAGGAUUUGUUUAGGAUUUGGUUUAAGAUUUAUGAUUUAUUUAGGAUUUAUUUAGGAUUUGAUUUAGAAUUUAAGAUUUGUCUAGAAUUUGAUUUAGGAUUUAGAAUUUAUUUAGGAUUUAGUUUAGAAUUUAGGAUUUAUUUAGGAAUUGAUUCGAGAUUUAAAGUUUAAGAUUUAUUUAGAGAUUGAUUUGAGAUUUAAGAUUUAGGAUUUAUCUAGGAUUUAGGAUUUAUUUAGAGUUUGAUUUAGGAAUUAGAAUUGGUUAGGAUUAAGGAUUUGGCCUAAAAUUUGAUGGAAGUCCAUUAGGAUUUUAAUUAGGAUUAAAUUAGGACUUUAUUGAGAUUUAUUUAAGAUAUAUUUGUGAUUAUUCUAAUAUUUCUUUGGAAUUUCUUAAGGAUUCUUUUAAGAUUU